UACGGGGGGGGCAAGCGUUGUUCGGAAUUACUGGGCGUAAAGGGCGCGUAGGCGGUUUGCUAAGUUGGAUGUGAAAACUCUGGGCUUAACCCAGAGCCUGCAUCCAAAACUGGCUAACUUGAGUACUGGAGGGGAAAGCGGAAUUCCUGGUGUAGCGGUGAAAUGCGUAGAUAUCAGGAGGAACACCGGUGGCGAAGGCGGCUUUCUGGACAGUAACUGACGCUGAGGCGCGAAAGCGUGGGGAGCGAACCGG
rnacentral:rRNA from 1 species